rnacentral:sRNA from 1 species
UACGUACUACAUGCCGGACCCAUCCGAA